GUUUAGUGGGUCAUGUUGGGGGUAGAGGGCUCUUUGGAUCACAUGAUCUUGGAGGACUUUUCCAGCUUUAGUGAUUCUAUGAUUCUAAGGCUUGGAAACACUGAUGAGGGACUGGCCAAAGAUCCAAACAUCCUGUUUUAGUGUCUGUACCACCUAGGAAGAAAUUUAUGAAAUGUUCUGGUCCUGCUGCUUUCCAGUUGUUUGGGCAUCAGGGAAAUAUGAAACUAAGUCAGUUGGAUGCUGUAAGUCUUCUUUUCCUGUUGACUCUGGCACAAAACUACAUACUUUGGGUCUGGAAAACUGAGAUGUUCUCCCUGCUAACUCAGAGAUAGUGAACAUAAAACUGCUCGAAUGCAUGCCAGAACUGUACUGCUAGAUUUUUACAACCAGCCAGCCUAUCAUCAAUGACUUUGAGAGGAAACCUCUGCAGGGACUGCAAGCCAAG